GGGGAACUCCGGAUAAGGUAAAGUCGCGGGACCCGACUCUAGGCAGGCCUGUGUGAGCACGGAAGGGGAGCCUGAUCACCUCCCGGGGUCUCCAUUUGGCGACAGCAGAUGCAUCCCUGGGUGCUUAAGCAAGAGGUUCCAUGGUCUAUAUAUCCAGAUGGUGAGGUUUGUCCAGCUUUUGCUUUACCAGGUCUGAGAUGGGAAUAAAAUAUCUGCAUUUCAGAGCAAUUGGAGAAGAGUGCCUGGAACAGUCAUUGGUGGGGUUGCUCAGUUUUACCAGAAAAAUUAAAUGAUGCAUUUAAAAAUUUUGUUUUUACUGUUAUCCUUUAUUCCCAUUCUCCCACUUGCUCCCCAAAGUGGAUUUCUGAUGGAUAGGGAAAGAAGAGUAGCUUCUGUUUGCAUAAUGUGCUAGUUUUAGUUCAACAUUGAUAUAAGCUGGAUCUUGACACAGAACAUCCUGGUUUCAAUGUCAUUUUUUCAUGGAUAUUUAUGAAUUCUCAUUGAAGUUGUUGUCUUCAAUUUUCUCAAGCCUAAAAUAGAGAGUAUCAAUCUUAGCUUGCCUGGCUCUUAAAUUGCUCAACUGAGGAAGUAUAUAUAUAUAAAAUGUUUGACACAGUAUAAGUGUUCAAUGGAUAUUUGUUAAAAAAUAGUUAGCUGUCAGACAAAGUUAAUAUCUGUGUUUCUCAUUGCUUCAUUACUCUAAAUUUUUGUGUAAUUUGCAGAGUGCUGACCUGUAGUAAACAAACAGAGUUCAAUAUAAUGGAAACGUUAUUAAACUUGUGCUUGAGUUGUUCUAGCCUUUAGAGAUUCUUCUGCCAUUGUUACCAAUGUUUCUCCAGGCAAAUCCCUCAAUUCCUAAUUCUUAAUUUUCUCAUCUGUUGAUCAAGGAAAUUAUAUUUGUUUCUAUGAUCUCACAUAAAGCAAAGAUUUUACACUCAUAUUUUUAAAGUAUAUAUUCUGUAUAACUCCAGAACUGACAAAGGCAGCCAAUAUUUAAUAUAUUAUGACAAUAGAAAACAAAGAAAAUAUAGUAAUAAAUGUACCAAAAUAAAACUUAUACAAUUUAUUGCUUUACAUGCACUAAUAUCUUCCAUACUUUCAUUCAAACAUCUACUAUUUGUCAGAUACUUUAACUAGUACUGAGGUUGAAAAACUAAACGUGGUUCCUGACCUUGAAGAGCAUACAAUGUAAGGUAAUUGGAAAAGAAAUUAUGAGAGCCAAAUUAAAGAAAAAGAAAAGGAGAUAUCAGGAAGAUGUGAUACAAAAACACACAGUUUUAAUUAGAUAAGAGGGAUAAGUUCAAGAGAUCUAUGGUACAACUUGGUGACUGUAGUUAAUAACAGUGUAUAAUACUUAAGAAAACGUGGCACAUAUACACCAUGGAAUACUAUGCAGCCGAUAAAAACAAUGAGUUUGUGUCUUUUGUAGGGACAUUGAUGAAUCUGGAAACCAUCAUUCUCAGCAAACUGAUACAAGAACAAAAAACCAACCACUGUAUAUCCUCACUCAUAGCUGGGUAUUGAACAAUGAGAACACAUGGGCACAGGGAGGGAAUGUCACCCAUCUGGUGUUGGGGAGUGAGGGGUUAGAGGAGGGACAGUAGGGGGCAGGGAGGUUAGAAAGGGAUAACACUGGGAGAAAUGCCUAAUGUAGGUGACAGGGGGAUGGAGACAGCAAACCACCAUGGCAUGUGUGUACUUAUGCAACAAUCCUGCAAGAUCUGCACAUGUACCCCAGAACUUGAAGAACAAUAAAAAGAAUCAAAAGGCUUAUAAAACAAACAAACAAAAAAUCACUAAGAGUAGAUUUUAAGUGUUCUCAUGACAAAAAAAUAAGCAUGUGAGAUAAUGAAUACAUUAAAUAAAUUGAUCUAGCCAUUCCAUUUUGUAUAUGUAUUUCUUUCUUUUUUGUUUUUUUUUGAGAUGGAGUCUCACUCUGUUGCCCAGGCUGGACUGCAGUGGCACCAUGCCAGCUCACUGCAACCUAAGUCUCCUGGGUUCAAGCCAUUCUCCUGCCUCACCCUCCUGAGUAGUUGGGAUUACAGGUGCCCAUCACCAUGCCCAGCUAAAUUUUUUUGUAAUUUUAUGGUUUCACUAUGCUGGCCAGGCUAGUCUGGAACUCCUGACCUCAGAUGAUCUGCCUGUUUCAGCCUUGUAAAGUGUUGGGAUUACAGGCAUGAGCCAUCUUGCCCGGCCUUGUAUACAUAUUUCAAAACAUGUUGUACAAAAAGACCCUACCUAGGUAAUAAGGCUGGUGUGGGAUGGAAAUGUCCACAAGCAGAAGGAAAAGAAAAAGGAAAAGUCAUGUAGGCAGAAUUAGCUACCUAAAUGCAAAGGAACUUCAAAGAAUUUACGCUAGGGAUAAGGUAACAACAUGGUGCUUAGUAAGGCCAUAGAGUUAGGCAUUGGCCUGGAAAUAAAGGUCUUUGGAACUUAAGAAGGUAGUUGAAGCUUAUCUUGUAUGUAAAACACAGAAGAGCCUUUGGUGUGGUCUGAUUUGAAUUUAAGAAAAAUUUACAUAGAAAUGCAGAAGAUGAAAAAAAAAAGCCACACAACUGGAAGCUUGCAAUUAUUUAUAUAAAAUAAUCACUAAUAUUUCUAUAACAUUAAGUAUGUGCCAGGGAAUUUCUAGGUAAUUUAUAUAUUAACCAAUUUACAAGUGAAGGAUAUGAAACAGAUAUGUGCAUAUGUAAAUGAAAACAUGUUUCCUAUAUAAUAUGCUAAUAUUAGAGAAAUUCUAACAGGAGAUAAUGUUGCCUCCCAAGAGAAUAAUGAAUGGGGCACAUUACCUUAAUAAAAUCAACCAAGCUGAGAGAUAAUCCUUGGCCUCACCUGGACAGAAAUGAAUGGAUGGCUACUCAUGGGACCAGGAGUGCCCUGAUGCUACUCUGUGAGGGCCUCAAUUUCUGAUGAUAUUCCAAUUUCAGUUCCAACUCCCAGGUAUAUUUACAGAAAAUAAAGAAAGAAAGAAAAACAUAUGUUUCUUUAAGGUAAUCUAAGCAAAACUUCAAUUACAGUCAAAUAUUAUAUUUUGCCUCUUUGAAGUAAAUCUGCAUAUCAUUUUCAGUAUGUUUUAUGUUUUGAUCUUCUAGUUUAAACUCUAAAGAGUAUUUUUAUUUUCCUCAUUUCCCAGUUUUUAGGGACACUCUAAUUUAUUUUCCAAGAAAUGAAAGGUCUAGAAAUGUAUCACUUGGAUCAUUAUAGAAGAUUUUAUGCAUCAAUGUAUUACACAAUAUUUUAUUAGACAAUGACUAUCAUGAUAUUUAAAAUUGUAGAAAAAUGCAGAAAUACAUUUUAUGUAUCUGAUUUAAUGAAAAAUAAACGUUCUUGGGUGAUGGUAGUAAUGAUAAAAUGGAAAAUUACAAGUUAAUGAGGUCCAAGCAGAUUUUUCUGGUAACCAUUUCUGAUCAAUGGGUAGAAUUUAAAGCCUCUUGAGAAGGGACUAAUUUCAUGUAUUGACAAUGUCAGAUAUUUUUCAUUUUUGCUAAUGCUGGCAAUUUAAAGUAUCUUUCCAGUGCAAGAGUGAUGCAGAAACACUAAGAGUCAUUUCUAAAAAAUAGUAUUAAAGGCUAGACGUUUCUUCAGGGGCAUUUUCUAAAUGUCUCAAUUCUCAGGCCACAUGCUUCUUUAUUUUUCUAUAAUAUUUUAUUAUGUGAAGUGAAUAUUCCUGAAAAAAUUAUGCUUUUUGAGUCAGGUCACUAAUGCUUUAUUUUUCUACCUAUUCUCUGAAAUUACUUUUGAAGGUUCAAUCUCCAUCUUCUUCUGACCUCUUGACUGUCAUUUUAGAUACCAUCUCUCUCACAGGCUUCAUCAUUCCUUCUCUUUGUAUCAAUCAAAAUAUGCUAAGUUAUGCUGUGGAGAUAAACAACUCAAUUCAGUAUUGUAGUUGUCUGUAACAACAUAGUUUUAUUCCCCUCACAGUCCUUGGCCAGGAAGUGUCCACAGCAGUGGACACUUGCGACGGUGGGAGUGGCGUUACGUGGGGCAGGAGAGGUCAGGAACUCUGUUCCAUAUAAUUAUUUACACUCUACACCUCAGACCUAUACCAUGGGGAAUAUUGCUGGUUGAUGUGGAGGAGCAAAAGAGCUGUGACCAGGCAGAACAUGGCUCUCAAAGCACUUCCCUAAAAUGACAUCUUCCUUCAACUCAAGUUGCAUUGCCUGAAACAAGUUAGGAGGCCAAGCCUAUUCUCAAUUAGGAGAAGAAGUUAUCUUUCUAGCAACUACAUAACACAAUUUAGCCACAUUUCAAUGAUACUCAAACUUCUAUUUCUAUUUUCAACCUUUUUUUUCAGCCCCAGUCCUGCCUUUCCCAUUCUCAACUGGAUACUUGCAUUUUAAUAUCAUACAAGUGCCUCAACCAUUUAUCAUGUCAGAACCAGAAUUCAUAAUCUCCUUCCAAAGUCAACUGGUCUCCAACAUACAUACAUGUAAUAAUUUCAGAAUAAUGUUAAACACCUUGGCCAUUUCCCAUGUAAUCACUCUUGUAAGCCCUGUUGAUUAUGCCUUUGAAAUUUUUCUUAUACUUAAACUUUUAUUUUUAUUUGCCCCUGGGUUUCUUUAGCUUAGACUUCAUAUCUGGUAUGCUAUUCUACAUUUAAUAGUAUACAAUGCAGGCAAAUUGAAAUAAGUUUCGACUGUGUCAUUUUCUUUGCUCAGAAGCCUUUAGUGUCUCCUACUCCUUAAAAAAUGUUAUCUAAACUCAUUAAUCUGUAAUAUAAGACUGCCUAAGGAUUACCAUCCCCAAUCUAUCUUCCCUCACUUCCAUGUAUUCAUAGUUUGUUCCAUUCCAGUAAGAGAAGUUCUCACCUUCUGAACACUAAACACAAUUCAUAUUUUUAUAUUCUUGCGUCUUACUCGUUCUUACAUAAUUUAUACAUUUUUUAUUCCUCAGAGUGAGUUCUGUACAGGGACAUUGCUCAAUCCCUGGAUAAGAGGAAGAAAAAGAACACUAUGUUGUUUUUACGUGAGCAUUAUCAAUUGCCUGACAUUUCCAAAAGUACUUUUAAAACUACAUUUCAUGUGUUCCUUAGUAGAGUUUUAUGAGGUGACUACAAUUAUCUUCAUUUUAUGCAUGAAGAGAACUGCAGCUUUAAAUAAAAAAAUGAUUAAAAUAAGGGCCAGAAUCCAAAUAUGGUUGAUUCAAAGCCAGUCUGUACUUUCUAUUUAAUAUUUAGAACUGUGUUGGAUGCUCAUUUGUCUAGUGAGUAUAUAACUUAGACUUAAUCUCUUCCUUGAGUUGAACAUUUUUCUAGGUGUAGAAUAAACUGAUUCUAUCAGAUGUGUUGAUUGCCUUAAAUCAAAUUAUUUCAGAGAUAAGUAGGAAGAUGGUCCUUGAACUCCUUGCCUUAAACGUGUGUACCUCCUUAGGUCUAUUGUAAGCCUCUAAAUGUAGUGUUUGCCAAUCUAUGUCAUAGUGUUUACUUAUCAAACAUGAUGACAACCUCAAAAAAUUGAGACAUCCUGUAAUCUGCUUCUAACAUUCUGUUUGUAAAGAUUAUCAGUAAGCAAAGAUUAUUUGAACUAAAUAAUAUUUUUAAAAUCAAUAAAAAUUUUUCAUAGUGUCUAAUAUAAACAAUAUAUAGAUAUAUAUAAAAGAUACAUUGAGAUGUUCAUACGAGAUAUAUUAUUAAAUAUUAGUAUCAAAACUCUGAGAAUUUCUCUCACUUUCAAUAAUUCCACACAUCCCCCAAAUAUAUGUAUUUUAGUGGCAUUGAAAAAUAUUCAAAAAAUAAUUGUAAUGCCACACUGAUUCACUAUUUUUCAUCUCUCAGCUGCUGCACAUGAAUUUCCACUGAAAAAAGCCAGAAUUGUGUGAGGUACCAAAGGAUGUUUUUCCAGAUUUGAUUAUUUUUGGAAGGAAGAUUAGUGUGGAAGAGGCCUAAAGGCAAAUCUGCUCAUACUAAUCCAGAAAUACACAAAAUACCAGAUACAAAAGGUUUAGAAAGUUCUAUUUCUAGAAUAUAUAUGGUUGGUUAAUUUAUAAGUUAAGUAUUCCUUAAAACUUUGGUGAUUUUAUUGGACUGUCUCCACUGUGAAAGGUAAACAUUUCUACUUUGCUUUAGGUACUAAACAAUCAAAGCUCACUCGGGUGCAUUCUUUUUUUAAAUCAAAGUCAUUUUAUAAUUGAUAAUCAGUAUUCAACAAUACCAAAUAUCUAGUCUUCUAUCCAAAGAUCAUCUAAAAAUUGAUAUGACUUUCUAUUUGAGAAUCCUUUUACCUAUGGCUGAAAUAUUAUUUAAUCAUAAGUUACUUCUUGAAUUGUGACUGAGCUUUAGAAUUUUAGUCUAAAUGAAGAAAACCAAUUUAUGAAAGAAAAUCAAUGCUGAGUACAUACCUGAAAUAUGCAAAGAUAAGUCCUUAUUAAUUAAUUUGUAAUAACAGCUAAACAGAUUAAAACAAAAAAAUUUUAAUUGGGACUCUCUAUUAAUAAAAUAGCCUGUGUACUUCAGCCCCUGACUGGCAUAGUCUUCUUUAUGUGUUUAAUGUGCAAACUGCCUAGAGCAGAAGGAAUAGAUUUUAAAAGAAAUCAUUUUAACAGCAAUAGAAAGAAAUGGGGGAAAAAAAUUAGACCCAACUAAAAGAGUCAACUAUUAGUAAAAAUUGGGCCUUACUCAGUUUUAUUACUGUAAUCUCUUUUAAACAUUUCACUACCCCUCAGGAAUGAUUGGAGUACUUUUAACUGACUUUUAGAGCCUGCGCAUAACUAUGGCACCAUCUAUUUUCUUAACUUCCUAUCUCUGUGACAUCAUCUAACGAACACACCCCACGAAAGAUAGCUUCCUUGCCCUUGGAUUUGGAGGAAGUAUCCUGGGAGAGACCAAAGGGAGCUGUUCUUUCUGAUUUUUGAUUACUUGGAGUAAGUUCUGUUUUACAUAUUAACAAAAGAGGAUGUAAAAAUAGAUCAGGUUGUCUAAAACAAAAUGACCAUUGACAUAACUUUCCAGAGUGAUUCAAAGAAAAUGCAAAUAGUAAAAUAUUUUACUUAUGAAAUCAAUUGUCCAAGUAUCUUACUGUUACUUCCUUAGUUAUGUAAUGAAUAUAUCAGAAAGAGAGAGAGAGAGAAUCCCACAAUUCAGAGUUGUGAUUUAGAUAUCUAAUACAAUUGUCAUUCCUUAUUUACGAUUUUACUUUCUGUGGUUUCAGUUACCCAUAGUCAAUUACAGUUCAAAAAUAUUUAAUGGGAAAUUCCAGAAACAAACAAUGCAUAAGUUUUAUACUGCACAGCAUUGUGAGUAAUGUGAUGAAAUCUCAUGCUGUCCUGCUCCAUCCCACCUGUCUUGAAUCACUCCUUUGUCCAGUGGAUUCAAGCUGUCUAUGCUUCCUGGUACUUACUCACUUAGUAAACAUCUCAGUUAUCAGAUUGACUGUCACAGUAUUGCACUGCUUGUGUUCAAGUAACACUUACUAAAUAAAAAGUGCAAGAAUAGUAAUGUGGUCUUAUUGUUAUAAUUAUUCUGUUUGAUUAUUAGUUAUUGAUGCUAACUUCUUACUGUGCCCAAUUUAUAAAUUAAACUUUAUCAUAGAUAUGUACAUACUUAAAAAAAGGAACAGGAGUAUAUGUAGGGUUUGGCAAUACCUGCUGUUUCAGGCUUACACAAGGAAUCUUGAAACCUUUCUCCCACAGAUAAAAGGGGGCUCCUGUAUUCCUCUGGCUCUGUUCAAGAACCAAAACAAAUUGCAAAGGUAGCAUUGUAAAAUACCAUUUUAAGUUCCGUAUAUUAGCUACCUGUGGCAAGCCAGAGAAAGACUGGAUGGACCAACCUGUUAAUAGACAUAAUGAAGCCAUUUUAAUGUCAGUCAUCCUGGUGAGAACAAUCUGGAAUCUGAAAAUUGAUCAACGAUUGUAUAGUUUCCAGUGUGUGUUUCAUUUACCAUCAACGUUAAAACAGCUUUAAAAAGAGGGAGCUGGAGUAUGAGAAAGGGAUACAGACAGAGGCUGACUGCAAGAGAAAAGAAGAGACAAAGAGAAAUCAGACAGAGGCAAAGAAAUGUGUAUCAAACAUGUGUGAGCACCACACCUGUGUAAAUUCAAGAAGGUUCUAGAAAGCUAUGAAGUCGAAAUUCUCCUCAGUUUUGCCCCAAAGCAAAAGAAAAUUGCUUUAGCCACUAUCCCCCAAGUGCUCAAGGAAUCUUUUUAUAAAUAGGUCCUUUGUGAUUUGUAUUAAUCACCACAUAUGAAAGCUUUCAGUAUGUAAAGUAAAUUUCAAGGUGUUGAAGUAACUUCAGUAUGCAGUGUGUUGCUUUUGGAGGAAAGCUGUCAUUUUUUCAUGGGUGCUGUCAAGCACAAGUUGUCAGUGUGAAUAAAAGACUAUAGGCCACUUAUAAGAAAGAGAGCUUGAGGGUAAAUGAUGAGGGAACUUGGAGUUAAAUUGCUGGGAGCCCUAUUUUUUUAAUUAGAAAUUCCAUCUAGUAGUUUCUACCCCACAGGGAUACUGAGGUCAAAUCUAGAGGAAUGUGUUUAUAAAAUGACUGAAAUUUGUAGGGUCAGGCUCAAAUCAACAUCAAUAAUUAAAAAAAAAACAGUUUGAUUUGUGUCAUUAAUUGCGUUCUACAAGUUGACAUCUCAUGAGAAUUUCUCACUCUCAAAGUUUUCCUCUGCCCUCCUACUUUGCUGUUUAAAGAGUGGUUAACACAUAGCUGAAAAAGCCAACUGUGUUAGAAACCCACAUGACUAUACUUGUUAAUGGGGAAUAAGGUGUUUGGUCUGUGCGGGUAGAAUGUGCCACUCAGACAAGCUCACACUACCCAAAUGAAGCCAGUGGAGCCAUCUCAGUUCAUAACUUUCACACCACUCUGUGUUUUUCUUUGGGUUCUCUUAAUUCAAAGUCUGUGAUCUUUGGAAAUGGUUUUGUUUUCCCAUGAUCUUAGUGGGGCUUCCUAGAGAGCAGUGGCUGGCAACCGUUCUCUUUCCCAGCCUCACUUGAACUCUUAACAAAAAUCCUCUUGUAAAGAUGCCAGUUCAAGGGUAGGAUUAGGAUAUUUGUCCAGGAGACCUGGACUUUCUCAGUUUCACUUUAUGAAUUUAAGAAGGGCAAAUUUCCUCCUGAGUUUUAGAGAAAAUAUUUUAAUUCUCCUGUUGACUUUAUGUGGAGAUCCUUGAAGAUAGCAAGGUAAUUUUUUAAGUGCUGAAAUAUGGUAUUACAUGAAGAUUCCUGUAUAUACCUCUGGAUUUACUUUUCAGCUCUUGUCAAUUCAACUUGGCCAAGAUAACAACAUUUCAUAUUCAAAGCAGUGUAUCUGCUAUGGGAACUCAGAAAUUAAAGAUUCACCAACUAAAUGACUCUAUCAACCAAUCUUCAAUGUAAUAUCUAUGACAGAAUGAAUGAUUAGCGUCUACAGUGAUAAUAGAGUUCUCUGAGCAUUUUUAAAACAUUCUAUGACAAGCCACACAAAAGAAGAUGAAAUACUAUGUCAACCUAGAACCUCUCCAUAUGGGUACAUGAAUAUCAUGACCACCUACACACAGAGGACGCUGCCACAAUUUCAUAGUAUUCAUCAUCCAAGAAAUCUAUGUACUUAAUCUUGAAUGUAUUUGCUAGUGCCAAUCAUCAAUUCAUCUUCUUCUGAAGAACAUGAAUUGAUGAUUGGCACUAGCAAAUACUUCUGUAUCCUUGUACAUGUAAAAGCAAAUUUCGUUGGCCUUUUUUCAUUAGAGCACCAUUUUCUACCAUUUCAGUUCUCAUCAGUGGAAUGACAAGUGUUAAUGAUAAUUCCAUGGCUCAUAAUUAUUAUAAAUUCUGUAUAGCUAAUAAAAUAUCAAAUUAUGUUCAAUGCAAUUUUAGAGAAAAAUGUAUUUCCUCUGCUCAUUACUUGUUUUACAUGUAAAAAAGAAUGAUUGAAAAUAAUAGCUGAUUAUGAUGUAAGAAGAUGUGAGAAUAUUUAAAUCAACUAUUUAAAUAAUGCAUAGAAUAUGGUCACUCCACCCUAAUUAAUAGAAAAAACAUAAUCCAAACAAGUUGUGUGUAUGUGUACAAGUGUGCAUAUUCCUUUUCCAUCAGUGUAGACUCUAUAAACUUAGUGAUGCCAUAUAAAUGAAUAGGUACUGGUUAAUUUUAAAAAAUGAACCAUGAGCCCCUUUUGCAUCAUCAUGCCAAGCCAGCGCCUCGGCCUGGAAGUGGGCCACAGACUCUCAGCUUCGUCCACCACCUCCCGACCCUGGACCCCACAAAGUGAAUGAGCUUCUGACCUUUGUGAAGAUGUGUAAGCAGAAUCCAAGCAUUCUGCACACUGAGGAAAUGCGCUUUCUGAGGGAGUGGGUGGAGAGUAUGGGGGGUAAAAUACCACCUGUUACUCAGAAAGCUAAAUCAGAAGAAAAUACCAAGGAAAAAAAACCUGAUAGUAAGAAGGUAGAGGAAGACUUAAAGGCAGACGAACCAUCAAGUGAAGAAAGUGAUCUAGAAACUGAUAAUGAAGGUGUGAUUGAACCAGACACUGACACCCCUCAAGAAAUGGGAGAUGAAAAUGUGGAGAUAACAGAAGAGAUGAUGGAUCAGGCAAAUGAUAAGAAAGUGGCUGCUACUGAAGCCCUAAAUGAUGGUGAAUUGCAGAAAGCCAUUGACUUAUUCACAGAUGCCAUCAAGCUGAAUCCCCACUUGGCCAUUUUGUAUGCCAAGAGGGCCAAUGUCUUCAUCAGAUUACAGAAGCCAAAUGCUGCCAUCCAAGACUGACAGAGCCAUUGAAAUAAAUCCUGAUUCAGCUCAGCCUUACAAGUGGCGAGGGAAAGCACACAGACUUCUAGGCCACUGGGAAGAAGCAGCCCAUGAUCUUGCCCUUGCCUGUAAAUUGGAUUAUGAUGAAGAUGCGAGUGCAAUGCUGAAAGAAGUUCAACCUAGGGCACAGAAAAUUGCAGAACAUCGGAGAAAGUAUGAGCAUAAAUGUGAAGAGCGAGAGAUCAAAGAAAGAAUAGAAAGAGUUAAGAAGGCUCGAGGAGAGCAUGAGAGAGCCCAGAGGGAGGAAGAAGCCAGAUGACAGUCUGAAGCUCAGUAUGGCUUUUUUCCAGGUGGCUUUCCUGGGGGAAUGCCUGAUGGUUUUCCUGGAGGAAUGCCUGGAAUGGGAGAGGGCAUGCCUGGAAUGGCCAGAAUGCCUGGACUCAAUGAAAUUCUUAGUGAUCCAGAGGUUCUUGCAGCCAUGCAGGAUCCAGAAGAUAUGGUGGCCUUCCAGGAUGUGGCUCAGAACCCAGCAAAUAUGUCAACCCAAAGGUUACUCUUAUCAGCAAAUUGUCAGCCAAAUUUGGAGAUCAAGCAUAAUGCCUUUCUGAUAAAUAAAGCCUUGCUGAAGGAAAAGCAACCUAGAUCACCUUAUGGAUGUCGCAAUAAUACAAACCAGUGUACCUUCUCAUCAAGAGAGCUGGAGUGCUUUGAAGAUAAUCCCUACUCCUCUCCCCCAAAUGCUGCUGAAGCAUUUUACAGUGGUUUGCCAUUAGGGUAUUCAUUCAGAUAAUGUUUUCCUACUAGGAAUUACAAACUUUAAACACUUUUUAACUUUAAAAAUAUUUAAAACAAAUUUAAAGGGUUUGUUAAUUCUUAUAUUUUUCUUUACUAAUCAUUUUGGAUUUUUUUUCUUUGAAUUAUUGGGCAGGGAAGAUACUUAAUAUAUAGAAGAUUUUUACUCUAAUUUGAGUGAAAUAAAAGUUUAUUAGUGCAAGGCAAACAUAACUCAUUUGAGGAUAAAGUUUGUGUUGGAUAUGUGGUUCCUGAAGCAUUGUGACUUGUCUUUUUAAAUGCUUCAUCUUUUUCUUUAAAGAUUUAUUUCAAUAAAACUAAUUGGGACCACCAGUAUUUCAGUAGGACCUGGGUAGAGACUGGAAGUACUUGGCAGGGCAGUAGCAAUCUUGCUGUGUUUUAUAUAAUGUGCAUCCUUGGGCAGGUUGUCCUUGAAUCUUACACUGUGGUGAAGGGAUGAUUUUUUUUGUAAUGCUGCAGUAGAGUUGGGGUACUUGGUUCUGUUCUUGUCUAGUAUAUCUAAUAAAUGUAUCAUAUUAUUUCCACAUAGGGGAAAUAAGGGAGUACUUUUCUUUUUAUAUUUCUAUGCUUAAAAUUCUCUUUUCUAGUCAAAAAAUGCCCAACUCUGUGUCUGCUUUCUGCAUGCUAAGGUUUUUCUCCCUGACUUUUCUUUGGCUAAAGACUGGCUUUUUCCACCAGUAUCAUCACUGCUAUUAUCAUUAAGAGCAUAAUUAUGCAAGCAUAUUUAAUGCUGAGUUUAAUUUAAUAUGUAAUACAUAUGGUAAUUGUAGGGUAAUACCCACACCAACUGUAGUGUCUUACUUGGCCAUGAGAAUGCUUAUUUAAGUUCCACUCUGGCAAAAUCUUGCCAUAUCAAAAGAUGGAAAGAGGGAUUCCCUUUGGUGUUUGGUCUUCUACUUAGAAAAUACCUAUUGCAGUUAGAGUUUAUCUUGUAGUAUUCAUCUUUGUAUUUUGAAGAUAAUAAGGUUUGAAUUAAACUGAUAUACACAGAGGGGAACCCAUGUUUUUGAUCCAAUGUAAAUUAUACAUGAGAUAAUCCACAGUUAUUCAUUGUGGAAUUUUGAGACUAUGAAAGACUCAUUGUCUUUGUAUUCAGCUCUUCCUUAAAUAGUGUAACAAUACCCCCACCUCUGCUUGCUUGCUUUCCCUUCCCUCCAAUGAUAAAGAAAAUGGCAAAUUUUCUGUUGUGCAUUCAAUUCUUAUUUUAAAUAAGACUAAGUAUAGGCAUUGUACCUCACAUUGCUACAUUUCUACCAAUGUUUCAACUUAAAAUGCUAGUGUUUAAAAACAUUUUCAAGGGAUAAGACCUUCUGUACUUUGCUUAUUUGAAGAAUCAGUGGUAGGAGCAGUGAAGUAAAUUCUAUGGAGUACAUUUCUAAAAUAGCACAUUUCUGAAAUCAUAAAUAAGUUUAUUCAGGUUCUAACCCUUUGCUGUACACAAGCAGACAGAAAUGCAUCUGUUACAUAAAUGAGAAAAGGCUAUUAUGCUGAUGGAGCAUGCUUUUUAAAUCCUUUAAAAACACUCACCAUAUAAACUUGCAUUUGAGCUAGCAUGUUCUUUUUGUUAGUGUGUGUUCUCCUUUCUCAGAAUUGCCAGUGUGUACUUGGCUUAACUCAAGAACAGUUUUUUCUGGAUUCCUUAUUUGAUUUAUUUAACCUAAUUAUGUUCUGAUAUUGCAAAUAUUACCAUAAGUGAGUAAAAGUAAAUUUCCUCUUCUGAAA